rnacentral:rRNA from 1 species
AGUGAACGCUGGCGGCGUGCCUAAUACAUGCAAGUCGAACGGAGAUUAAGUAGCUUGCUAUUUAAUCUUAGUGGCGCACGGGUGAGUAAUGUAUAGCUAAUCUGCCCUACACUAGAGGACAACAGUUGGAAACGACUGCUAAUACUCUAUACUCCUCUCUAGCAUAAGUUAGAUAGGGAGAGUUUUUCGGUGUAGGAUGAGGCUAUAUUGUAUCAGCUAGUUGGUGAGGUAAUGGCUCACCAAGGCUAUGACGCAUAACUGGUCUGAGAGGAUGAUCAGUCACACUGGAACUGAGACACGGUCCAGACUCCUACGGGAGGCAGCAGUAGGGAAUAUUGCUCAAUGGGGGAAACCCUGAAGCAGCAACGCCGCGUGGAGGAUGACACUUUUCGGAGCGUAAACUCCUUUUGUUAGGGAAGAACAAUGACGGUACCUAACGAAUAAGCACCGGCUAACUCCGUGCCAGCAGCCGCGGUAAUACGGAGGGUGCAAGCGUUACUCGGAAUCACUGGGCGUAAAGGACGCGUAGGCGGAUUAUCAAGUCUCUUGUGAAAUCCUAUGGCUUAACCAUAGAACUGCUUGGGAAACUGAUAAUCUAGAGUGAGGGAGAGGCAGAUGGAAUUGGUGGUGUAGGGGUAAAAUCCGUAGAGAUCACCAGGAAUACCCAUUGCGAAGGCGAUCUGCUGGAACUCAACUGACGCUAAUGCGUGAAAGCGUGGGGAGCAAACAGG